rnacentral:rRNA from 1 species
AUACGGAGGGUGCAAGCGUUAAUCGGAAUUACUGGGCGUAAAGAGUACGUAGGUGGUUUAUUAAGUCAGAUGUGAAAGCCCCGGGCUUAACCUGGGAACUGCAUUUGAUACUGGCAAACUAGAGUAUGGUAGAGGCGGGUAGAAUUCCUAGUGUAGCGGUGAAAUGCGUAGAUAUUAGGAGGAAUACCAGUGGCGAAGGCGGCCCCCUGGACCAAUACUGACGCUGAGGUACGAAAGCGUGGGGAGCGAACAGGAUUAGAUACCCCGGUAGUCC